CGCGGUAUCCUGACCGUGCAAAGGUAGCGUAAUCACUUGUCUUUUAAAUGGAGACCAGUAUGAAUGGCACCACGAGGGUUUUACUGUCUCCUCCCCCCAAUCAAUGAAACUAAUCUUCCCGUGCAGAAGCGGGAAUACACAUAUAAGACGAGAAGACCCUAUGGAGCUUUAAACAAAACAACUAUCUGCUUUUAAAACUAAAGCCCCCCAGGGGGUUUAACCGCAAUUGUAGCAUACUAGUUGUAAGUUUUCGGUUGGGGCGACUGCGGAGCAGAAAAAAACCUCCGUGUUGAACGGCGAGAGCCUAAACAAAAAGCCACGACUUUAAGUAUCAGUAUACUGACAUUAAUUGAUCCAAUACUUUGAUCAACGAACCAAGUUACCCUAGGGAUAACAGCGCAAUCCACUUCGAGAGUUCAUAUCGAAAAGUGGGCUUACGACCUCGAUGUUGGAUCAGGGUAUCCCGGUGGUGCAGCCGCUACUAAAGGUUCGUUUGUUCAACGAUUAAAACCCU
rnacentral:rRNA from 1 species